rnacentral:rRNA from 1 species
UCAGAACGAACGCUGGCGGCAGGCCUAACACAUGCAAGUCGAGGGAUAUUAUUACUUUCGGGUAAUAUUAUACCGGCGCACGGGUGAGUAACGCGUGGGAAUAUACCAUAUGGUGGGGGACAACAGCUGGAAACGGCUGCUAAUACCGCAUACGCCCUAAGGGGGAAAGAUUUAUCGCCAUAUGAUUAGCCCGCGUUAGAUUAGAUAGUUGGUAGGGUAAUUGCCUACCAAGUCUACGAUCUAUAGCUGGUCUGAGAGGAUGAUCAGCCACACUGGGACUGAGACACGGCCCAGACUCCUACGGGAGGCAGCAGUGGGGAAUA